CAGCCACCACCAACUGACUUCCCCACAGCCUCCAGAUGAGCAAAAAGGUAAAACUCCGGCAUUUUCCACAUCCUCAGCAUCCUCCACCUCCUCAGCUGUUCGCACCCGUGCUGGGAUGCAGGACCUCAAGCAAGUCUCUGGGCCUCAGCGUUGCCAUCUGGGAAAUGCAGUCAUAAUCGCCUCAGCAUUGCCAUCUGGGAAAUGCAGUCACAAUCACUGCCCUUUACGCCACAUGUCCCCCACCCUGGUGGGGUCAGAUCAAAGGAAUCAGGAGACAGAAAAAGUUUGCUGGGACUGGGAAGGACAGACACAGGAAAACAGAGCAGUGGGCAAGUGUGGCCCCUCACCGUGGAGCCUGAUUCUAGUACCUCUGUGCUCUUUCCCCACCCAAGUAUUGGGUCCCAGCCUCACUGCUGUUGGGAAUGUCAGAGACAGCCAGAGACACAGUGGACUGCAGAGAUCGAGAGACGCGGUGGGGAGACAAAGAGACGGAUAAAGAGAAGCACAGAGAUGGAGAACGAAGUCAGUCAGAGAGACAGAGAUGCUGGGCCAGAGUGACAGCCAGAAAGCCACGGGAUGCCCAGAAGCAGAGACGUCUGCAGAGAGACAGUGAUGGACAAAGAGAAACAGAAACAAGGCGGGAAACAGGAGGAUCGCUUGAGCCCAGGAGAUCGAGACCAGCCUGGGCAAC
rnacentral:lncRNA from 1 species